UACGAAGGGGGCUAGCGUUGCUCGGAAUCACUGGGCGUAAAGGGCGCGUAGGCGGCCGAUUAAGUCGGGGGUGAAAGCCUGUGGCUCAACCACAGAAUUGCCUUCGAUACUGGUUGGCUUGAGACCGGGAAAGAGGACAGCGGGAACUGCGAGUGUAGAGGUGAAAUUCGAUAGAUAUUCGCAAGAACACCAGUGGCGAAGGCGGCUGUCUGGUCCGGUUCGUGACGCUGAGGCGCGAAAGCGUGGGGAGCAAACAGG
rnacentral:rRNA from 1 species